rnacentral:rRNA from 1 species
GAUGAACGCUGGCGGCGUGCCUAAUACAUGCAAGUCGAGCGAACAGAUGAGGAGCUUGCCCCCCUGACGUUAGCGGCGGACGGGUGAGUAACAUGUGGAUAACCUCCCUUUAAGACUGGGAUAACUUCGGGAAACCGGAUAUAAUACCGGAUAAUAUAUUGUACCGCAUGGUUCAAUAGUGAAAUACGGUUUUGCUGUUACUUAUAGAUGGAUCCGCGUCGCAUCAGCUAGUUGAUAAGGUAACGGAUUACCAGGACGACGUUGCGUAGCCGACCUGAGAGGGUGUCCGGCCAAACUGGACUGAGGCCACGGUCCGGAUUCUUCGGGGAGGCAGCGGUGGGAAAUCUUCCGCAUAGGGCGAAAGCUUGACGGAGCAACGCCGCGGCGUGGAUGAAGUUCUUCGGUUGUUAAGACUCUUUGAUUAGGGAGGAACGAAUGUGUAAUUAACUAUGCACGUCUUGACGGUACCUUAUCAGAAAGCCACGGCUAACUACGUG